UCUCCGUAGGUGAACCUGCGGAGGGAUCAUUACCAGAGAUGGCGGGCCUCCGUGCCCCCGUCCCCAACCCAUUGUUGACCAAAACCUUUUCGCCUCGGGGGCAGAGCGUCCGCCGCCGCCCCCGGAGGACCACCGAACGCUGUCUCUAUACGUCGGAGUAUUGAUUAAAUGAAUGAAAACUUUCAACAACGGAUCUCUUGGUUCUG
rnacentral:misc_RNA from 1 species